UACGAACUGUGCGAACGUUAUUCGGAAUCACUGGGCUUACAGGGUGCGUAGGCGGCUAUUCAGGUCAGGUGUGAAAGCCCCCGGCUCAACCGGGGAACUGCGCUUGAAACCGAGUGGCUCGAGUCAGCUAGAGGUACACGGAACUUCCAGUGGAGCGGUGAAAUGUGUUGAUAUUGGAAAGGAACACCGGAGGCGAAAGCGGUGUACUGGGCUGGUCGUGACGCUGAGGCA
rnacentral:rRNA from 1 species